GAUGGCUUGUUGUGUGGUUAAAAAGGUAAAUUCCAUCUCAAAAUACAAACCAUUUAGAGCACAUCUUCUGAACAGAAAGUGAUACAAAUCCGAGCCAGGACUGAUGAGGGAUGUCUGCAGAGAGUAGGGUAAGGAGCACAAAUAUCCUAUUCCUGUUUCCUCGGCUCAGGGAGCCUCUUGACUCAGAAGGGCUCAGCAGGCAGGAGAACACCCAAUCCAAAGGUGUCAGACACCUGUUUCUCUUAAUUUCCUCAUUUUCAGGAAAAGGGCGGUCUCUAGUUCAGACAACUUUCAUUUUCCCCCAUUCUUUUCUUUCUUAGUUGCCUUUUGCUGCUCACACACACCCAGGUCAGACCUAUCCUACACCAACCCUGAAAGGAAAGCUCAGCUCUGUGCAAUUUGGUCAAGCCCCAGUGCUGGGGUUGGCCAGAUGAGGCGUUGGUGGCACCUCUGUGGGAAGGGGAACUCCCUGCUCAGUCCUGGAGCCAGCCGUGCUCCUCUUAGGCAGUCUGCCUGCUUUCUCUGCUUGUUUAAGGCCUUAGCUUUGGCUCCUGUUGAGUGCGGGGAAGUACAAGUGUGAUGACUGCUUCUCACUCCCUCCAAGACUCCAGGUUUGACUCUUAGAGGACAAGCCAUUCUCAGCUCUUACACAUUGUACACCAACACUGGAAAGUUCAGCUCUGUGGGGCAGAAGACUGUGCAUUUUCAUCCAGCCCUAGUGCUCACAUUGAUCAGAUAAAUGGCAGAGAAAGAAGCUCUCACUAGCCUGACCUGGAAGAGCACAAUGGAGAUCCCAGCCCUCGGUCGUCCCUUACAUCUGGGAACACUAUAUGAUUGUCGCUCGGAUAUCCUCGUCCCUGGUGUCACUUUAUGGGACAAGGAGACUCUAGAGAGAAAUGUGACCACAGAAGACCAAUGCAAGACUGAGUUUGACAUCAUCACCUCUGACUCCAUGGAGGAAAAGACCAAUGCCAUGAACAUCACCGGAGAGCUGAA